rnacentral:lncRNA from 1 species
UUAAAUUAAAUUUUUUAAAUAUCUUAAAUGAUAAAUAGACUUAUAAAGUGAUUUAACUUAUUAAAAAAUCUGAUACAUUUAGGUUUUCACUUGCGUACUCUUGAACUCUUCAACCCUUCUCACUCAACCAAAUCGUCCUCCACGAACUCACAAUCUGACAUUCCAACAAUGGCAGCAUGCACCGAUGACAUGUUCCAUCGUUAUAAACCGCGACAACGUUCAACCUCCAACAACAACAUCGUUCUAGCAUCCACCUUUGCAAUGACAUUCCAACCUUCUUCCGGCGACAUUCUGAUGGCAGCAACAACGUUUUAGUGGCGUCCUGACAAUGGUGGUAAUGUCUAGGUUUAAGAUGUCUACGGAGCUGAAGAAUUUCUUUUCUGGAAAAGAUGUGAGGGGUGUUAAACCUUGGGUUUUGGUUCUGUAAAUUAUCGUAUGAUGAAUAUGAAUGGUUUUUUUUGUGAUGAACAUGGUUUUUGUUUUAUGUGGUAUUGGUGAUUAUGUUAUGAGUAUACUUUGAAUUUUUGGGCCAGGUAUAUAAUUCUGUUUUGUAGGGCUUAAUUCAAUUAAAAGAGGAGCAAGGCCAGGUAUGUACUUCAUCUUUUAGAGUAUGAACUUCAUUUUUUUCUGUUUUGGGGUAGGUAUAUAAUUAUGUUCCUUAAUGCCUAUUAAUUUAUCAAAUAUAUGUGGAAAUUUACUUCGACAUCGAAA